rnacentral:rRNA from 1 species
GACGAACGCUGGCGGCGUGCUUAACACAUGCAAGUCGAACGGAAAGGCCCUGCUUUUGUGGGGUGCUCGAGUGGCGAACGGGUGAGUAACACGUGAGUAACCUGCCCUUGACUUUGGGAUAACUUCAGGAAACUGGGGCUAAUACCGGAUAGGAGCUCCUGCUGCAUGGUGGGGGUUGGAAAGUUUCGGCGGUUGGGGAUGGACUCGCGGCUUAUCAGCUUGUUGGUGGGGUAGUGGCUUACCAAGGCUUUGACGGGUAGCCGGCCUGAGAGGGUGACCGGCCACAUUGGGACUGAGAUACGGCCCAGACUCCUACGGGAGGCAGCAGUGGGGAAUAUUGCACAAUGGGCGGAAGCCUGAUGCAGCAACGCCGCGUGCGGGAUGACGGCCUUCGGGUUGUAAACCGCUUUCGCCUGUGACGAAGCGUGAGUGACGGUAAUGGGUAAAGAAGCACCGGCUAACUACGUGCCAGCAGCCGCGGUGAUACGUAGGGUGCGAGCGUUGUCCGGAUUUAUUGGGCGUAAAGGGCUCGUAGGUGGUUGAUCGCGUCGGAAGUGUAAUCUUGGGGCUUAACCCUGAGCGUGCUUUCGAUACGGGUUGACUUGAGGAAGGUAGGGGAGAAUGGAAUUCCUGGUGGAGCGGUGGAAUGCGCAGAUAUCAGGAGGAACACCAGUGGCGAAGGCGGUUCCCUGGGCCUUUCCUGACGCUGAGGAGCGAAAGCGUGGGGAGCGAACAGGCUAGAUACCCUGGUAGUCCACGCUGUAAACGGUGGGUACUAGGUGUGGGGUCCAUUCCACGGGUUCCGUGCCGUAGCUAACGCUUUAAGUACCCCGCCUGGGGAGUACGGCCGCAAGGCUAAAACUCAAAGGAAUUGACGGGGCCCCGCACAAGCGGCGGAGCAUGCGGAUUAAUUCGAUGCAACGCGUAGAACCUUACCUGGGUUUGACAUGGAUCGGGAGUGCUCAGAGAUGGGUGUGCCUCUUUUGGGGUCGGUUCACAGGUGGUGCAUGCCUGUCGUCAGCUCGUGUCGUGAGAUGUUGGGUUAAGUCCCGCAACGAGCGCAACCCUUGUUCACUGUUGCCAGCACGUUAUGGUGGGGACUCAGUGGAGACCGCCGGGGUCAACUCGGAGGAAGGUGGGGAUGACGUCAAGUCAUCAUGCCCCUUAUGUCCAGGGCUUCACGCAUGCUACAAUGGCUGGUACAGAGAGUGGCGAGCCUGUGAGGGUGAGCGAAUCUCGGAAAGCCGGUCUCAGUUCGGAUUGGGGUCUGCAACUCGACCUCAUGAAGUCGGAGUCGCUAGUAAUCGCAGAUCAGCAACGCUGCGGUGAAUACGUUCCCGGGGCU